rnacentral:rRNA from 1 species
UACGGAGGAUCCAAGCGUUAUCCGGAAUCAUUGGGUUUAAAGGGUCCGUAGGCGGUUUUGUAAGUCAGUGGUGAAAGCCCAUCGCUCAACGGUGGAACGGCCAUUGAUACUGCAAGACUUGAAUUACUAGGAAGUAACUAGAAUAUGUAGUGUAGCGGUGAAAUGCUUAGAUAUUACAUGGAAUACCAAUUGCGAAGGCGGGUUACUACUAGUUGAUUGACGCUGAUGGACGAAAGCGUGGGGAGCAAAACGG